rnacentral:tRNA from 1 species
GCUGCGAUGGCCGAGUUGUUAAGGCGUUGGACUCGAAAUCCAAUGGGAUAUUCCCGCGCAGGUUCGAAUCCUGUUCGCAGCG